rnacentral:tRNA from 1 species
GCGGGAGUAGCUCAGUUGGUAGAGCGCAACCUUGCCAAGGUUGAAGUCGCGGGUUCGAGUCCCGUCUCCCGCUCCA